ACAACAAGACAAUCCAAAUUCAACAUCUCAUGUAACGAUAUUGCUCUAUGUAGUUCUGAUAGAGAAUUAUAUCAACCACCUAGAAGGAAUGGUUGUGUAUCUAUAUCCUUAGUAGGAGCCAUGCUUCCACUAAGGAAUUGGAUAAUUCUUAUAUGACUACAUUAAAGGUCUUAGUAUGACUAAAACUUGAAGUAUGGUGUAUGACAUCGUAUAAUUAAAUGAAUAGACUUGAUAAAACAAGUCACAUAUUCAAAAAGGAAUUACUUUAGAAGGAAUUCUUUUGUAUGUGAUUCGUUUAAAUAACUUGUGUUAGCUAGGGUUGUUGAUGGUCUCAAAAUUGUUGAGACAUCAUCAAUAAACUAAUGGAUCUCAAUGAUUCUCAAUGGAUCCAAGACAAGUUAGUGGGAGCAAUAUGCAUUCAAAUCAAGAAAAUUUAAUUGUUAAUUUUGAAUGAAUGCUAAGUUCCAACAAGGCCAGAGGGAGUGAUGUCAUAAUUUGAGCAACAAGAUGUGAAUAAAGUCUAUUUGAUAGACUUGAUGAAACAUAGAUGUUACUCGAAAAUGACAAAACAUGACACGGUCAAUUUUGAAGUAUAGACUUGAAAUUAGACUUACUGAUAUAGCAAGGCUAUCUCAAUAAUGUUAUAUGGGAAUUAAAUCUCAAAUGUUGAAGAUUUAAGAAAGCAUUUUCCUAUGUGAUAAGAAAUCACUUUCAUAACCCUUAUAAUGAAUGUGUCAUAAAAUCACAAAAGGGACACAUGUGUUGACUUGUGAAGUAGAUAUCCAAAGGUGAAGAAACCACUAAGUUUAUCACUUUAAGAUAUUACUAUAUCCCAGGAUCAGAACCAAAGCAACUGAUAGAGUAUUAUUGCCUUUAAGAAAGAAACAUCAGAGUGGGACUCUGGAAGCGUGCAUUCACUUAGGUUGUUAACCAAAGUGAAAAUAAGUCAUUUUAACAAAUGGAACUUCAUAAUGGAUGAAGUACUAAUCAUAUGAAUGAAUUGUUAGUAUUGUACUACAAUGGUCUCAAGCUUGGAGCAAAGUUUGUAUAAAGUAUACAAACGAAAUAUAUGUAGAUAUAUAGUUUUAGAAACUGCUUCAAAAGGUGUUUUGAAUGAAAGGGGUUCUUUUAGAACCCAUGAUUGAAUCCAAACCAUAAGGUCGUUAGUAGAGUACUACGACGU
rnacentral:lncRNA from 1 species